AGGCGGACACGUGGCAGCAGCAGCGGUAGCAACCUUAGCGGCGGCAUCGGCCCCAGCCGCCGGCCGGUCUCCCUCCUUCCCGCCCCGCGGCAGCCCUAGCUCCCUCCUCUCCGCUCCCCCGGCCGCGCUAGCUCGGCCGGGAGCUGCUCUCUUCUUUCCUCUCUGAUUCUCGAGCGACAGGACCCGGCGGCGCGCACAGACCUCCGCCACCAUGGGGAAAGGGGUCGGACGUGAUAAAUAUGAACCCGCAGCCGUUUCAGAGCAUGGCGACAAGAAGAAGGCGAAGAAAGAGCGGGAUAUGGAUGAACUGAAGAAAGAAGUUUCUAUGGAUGACCAUAAACUUAGCCUUGACGAACUUCAUCGCAAAUAUGGAACAGACCUGAGUCGAGGCCUGACGACUGCUCGGGCUGCGGAGAUCCUGGCUCGCGACGGCCCCAACGCGCUCACCCCGCCUCCCACCACCCCCGAGUGGGUCAAGUUCUGUCGGCAGCUCUUUGGGGGCUUCUCGAUGUUACUGUGGAUCGGAGCAUUACUUUGUUUCCUAGCUUACGGCAUCCAGGCGGCCACGGAGGAGGAGCCUCAAAACGAUAACCUUUAUCUUGGUGUGGUACUAUCAGCUGUCGUCAUCAUAACUGGUUGUUUCUCCUACUAUCAAGAAGCUAAAAGUUCCAAGAUCAUGGAAUCCUUCAAAAACAUGGUCCCCCAGCAAGCCCUGGUGAUUCGAAAUGGUGAAAAAAUGAGCAUUAACGCAGAGGAAGUUGUAGUUGGGGAUCUGGUGGAAGUGAAAGGAGGGGACCGAAUUCCUGCUGACCUCAGAAUCAUCUCUGCCAACGGCUGCAAGGUGGGUUCAGCGGGGUCCCCGGGCUCAGGCGGAGUGCACAGGAUGGCCCGGCGUGUGUUCACACAGCCCUCUUACUUGUCUCACGGACAGGUGGACAACUCCUCACUCACUGGUGAAUCAGAGCCCCAGACUAGGUCUCCAGACUUCACAAAUGAAAACCCCCUGGAAACGAGGAACAUUGCCUUCUUUUCAACCAACUGUGUGGAAGGUACCGCGCGUGGCAUUGUCGUGUAUACCGGGGAUCGCACCGUGAUGGGAAGAAUUGCCACACUUGCUUCUGGACUGGAAGGAGGACAGACUCCCAUUGCUGCUGAAAUUGAGCAUUUUAUCCAUAUCAUCACGGGUGUGGCCGUGUUCCUAGGUGUGUCCUUCUUCAUCCUUUCUCUUAUCCUUGAGUACACCUGGCUCGAGGCCGUCAUCUUUCUCAUCGGCAUCAUCGUAGCCAACGUGCCCGAAGGUCUGCUGGCCACUGUCACGGUAUGUCUGACCCUUACUGCCAAACGCAUGGCAAGGAAAAACUGCUUAGUGAAGAACUUAGAAGCUGUGGAGACCUUGGGGUCCACAUCUACCAUCUGCUCGGAUAAAACUGGAACUCUGACUCAGAACCGGAUGACAGUGGCCCACAUGUGGUUCGACAAUCAAAUUCAUGAAGCCGACACGACAGAGAAUCAGAGUGGUGUCUCAUUUGACAAGAGUUCAGCCACCUGGCUCGCUUUGUCCAGAAUUGCGGGUCUCUGUAACAGGGCGGUGUUUCAGGCAAACCAGGAAAACCUACCUAUCCUUAAGCGGGCAGUGGCAGGCGACGCCUCGGAGUCCGCGCUCUUGAAAUGCAUCGAGCUGUGCUGUGGCUCUGUGAAGGAGAUGAGAGAGCGAUACGCCAAGAUCGUAGAGAUCCCCUUCAACUCCACCAACAAGUACCAGCUGUCCAUCCACAAGAACCCCAACACGUCUGAGCCCCGACACCUGUUGGUGAUGAAGGGCGCCCCGGAAAGGAUCUUGGACCGCUGCAGCUCCAUCCUCCUGCACGGCAAGGAGCAGCCCCUGGAUGAGGAGCUGAAGGACGCCUUCCAGAACGCCUACCUGGAGCUCGGCGGCCUCGGAGAGCGCGUGCUAGGUUUCUGCCACCUGUUUCUGCCCGAUGAACAGUUUCCUGAAGGGUUCCAGUUUGACACAGAUGAGGUGAACUUCCCUGUUGAAAACCUCUGCUUUGUGGGCCUCAUCUCCAUGAUUGACCCUCCGCGGGCCGCUGUCCCUGACGCUGUGGGCAAAUGUCGCAGUGCUGGCAUUAAGGUCAUCAUGGUCACUGGAGACCAUCCAAUCACAGCCAAAGCCAUUGCCAAAGGUGUGGGCAUCAUCUCAGAAGGCAACGAGACCGUGGAAGACAUCGCUGCCCGCCUCAACAUCCCAGUGAGCCAGGUGAACCCCAGAGACGCCAAGGCCUGUGUGGUGCAUGGAAGCGACCUGAAGGACAUGACCUCUGAGCAGCUGGAUGACAUUCUGAAGUACCACACGGAGAUCGUGUUUGCCAGGACUUCUCCUCAGCAGAAGCUUAUCAUCGUGGAAGGCUGCCAGAGACAGGGGGCUAUCGUGGCUGUAACUGGCGAUGGCGUGAACGACUCUCCAGCCCUGAAGAAGGCAGACAUUGGGGUUGCUAUGGGGAUCGCUGGCUCCGACGUGUCUAAGCAAGCUGCUGACAUGAUUCUUCUGGAUGACAACUUUGCAUCAAUUGUGACUGGAGUAGAAGAAGGUCGUCUGAUCUUUGAUAACUUGAAGAAAUCCAUUGCCUACACCCUGACCAGUAACAUUCCGGAGAUCACCCCCUUCCUGAUAUUUAUUAUUGCAAACAUUCCACUACCACUGGGGACCGUCACCAUCCUCUGCAUUGACUUGGGCACGGACAUGGUUCCUGCCAUCUCCCUGGCUUACGAGCAAGCUGAGAGCGACAUCAUGAAGAGACAGCCCAGAAACCCCAAAACGGACAAGCUUGUGAAUGAGCGGCUGAUCAGCAUGGCCUACGGGCAAAUCGGUAUGAUCCAGGCCCUGGGCGGCUUCUUCACGUACUUUGUGAUUUUGGCUGAGAACGGCUUCCUCCCGACCCACCUGCUGGGCCUGCGCGUGGACUGGGAUGACCGCUGGAUCAACGAUGUGGAGGACAGCUACGGGCAGCAGUGGACCUACGAACAGAGGAAGAUCGUGGAGUUCACUUGCCACACAGCCUUCUUUGUCAGUAUCGUCGUGGUGCAGUGGGCUGAUUUGGUCAUCUGUAAGACCAGGAGGAACUCUGUCUUCCAACAGGGGAUGAAGUGAGAACAAGAUCUUAAUAUUUGGCCUCUUUGAAGAGACGGCCCUUGCUGCUUUCCUUUCCUACUGCCCUGGAAUGGGUGUUGCCCUGAGGAUGUACCCCCUCAAACCUACCUGGUGGUUCUGUGCCUUCCCCUACUCUCUUCUUAUCUUCGUGUACGAUGAAGUCCGAAAACUCAUCAUCAGGCGACGCCCUGGAGGCUGGGUAGAGAAGGAGACCUACUACUAGACCCUGUGUCCUGCACGCCGCGGAGCAUCGCGCCACACACUUCGCACCCACCCCCACCCCCUUUGUGUACUUCAGUCUUGGAAUUCGGAACUCUACCCUGGUAGGAAAGCACCGAAGCAUGUGGGGGAGCGAGACGUCCUGGAAUGAAGCAUGUAGCUAUAUGGGGGGGAGGGGGGAGGGCUGCCUGAAAAACCUCGUCUAUGGGAGUGACAGCGGGGAUGGUUUUUAUGUGCCUUUUUGUUUUUGUAAAAAGGAAAACUUGGAAAGACUGAAAGAAUACAUUUUAUAUCUGGAUUUUUACAAAUAAAGAUGGCUAUUAUAAUGGAA